GUCUACGGCCAUACCACCCUGAACACGCCCGAUCUCGUCUGAUCUUGGAAGCUAAGCAGGGUCGGGCCUGGUUAGUACUUGGAUGGGAGACCUCCUGGGAAUACUGGGUGCUGUAGGCU
rnacentral:rRNA from 1 species